rfam:Aneurinibacillus migulanus strain DSM 2895 super7, whole genome shotgun sequence.
CGAUGAGGUAGAGGUCGCGGUCGUUAUAAGUACGGUGCAGGAGGCAAGAAGAAUGCCUGAGAAUUCACCGGAAAGGAACCACCGCCGAAGCCUUCGCGCAUUCUUCGGCGUGCAGGCUGGGUCCGUUUUCGAAUAGGAACGGAACUGUCACGUUUGCUAUCCUGGCAAACGUGGUGUGCUAUCUUCAUG